AAUAAACGAAAAUAGUUUCUAUCCUUGUGGGAUCGGUACUCACCGGAGGGACCGCAGACGUUCGGAUACAAUUAGCGUCUCUUUGCAAAACAAUGACGACUUUGCUAAGUAACAAGACAUUUACUCAACACACAACACACACACUACCGACUACACUAGGUACCUAAUUGGAAAAAUCCACUGUACCAUGCCAAUGGCCAUUAGUUGUCGAGGCAUUAUAAGCCAAAUAAAAAAAAUUGCAUACACUCGUGAUUAGUGACUUUUUCAAGCCCUUUUUGAACAGCACUUUUAUAAAUAAGCACUUUAUACCGAUGAAACUUACAGAGCAUAUAAACAAUACAUAAGUAAAGUAGCUUGUGAAGCGGUGAGGAUUAAUUUCAUUUGGGAUUAGGGGGUUAUUUUCACCAGUUUUUUUUACCCAAAAAUUGGGAUGAACUUUAUUCUGAGCGUAUCUUGCUUACUUUUUAUGAUGGAAAUUUUUUUAAAAAAACAAGAAUAAUGCCUUUUUAAAACAUUUAAAUAAGUUAUGAUGAGUUUUCCAUGAAAAGUGCUUAAUUUUUUGAUUAUUUUACAACUCUGCUUCUACUGGGUCUACAGACUGCACAAGAAUCUACAGGUCGAGCAAGUCUCGUAAAUUUCACGAUUGCGAGCCACGCUUCACGCAACCGUGUUUGCGUACUUGUGUUUCGAGUUGCGUGGUCGUGCGGAGUUAUAUUUACCAAAUUUAAAUGUAAUCGUUUCUACUGAUAAUAAUAUACUAUUCUCAAUAUGGCUACUGGGUGUAAAAGAUAAAUCUUAUUCUAUCUGUUCUUCAUGAGUUUUAGAUAAUUUUAGUUGUAUUUCUUUGUAAUUUUGUGUUGUACAAAGAUUAAUUUAACAUUUUCUCUGGAAGUAUUAAUUUAGAAAGAUAAUAUGCUUCAUUGGUGUUGUGUUUUGAAGUGUGAAAUGCAAAGUAAUUGUGAAGUCAAGAUAAAGUUCACUUUUAAACUGAACUAAAUAAGGUAUCUGAGAGACAACAAUGGUUAAAUGCAAUACAAUGUACAGGUUUUACUAGCGAAAUGAAAAUUUUCCUGUCCUGUCUGCUGUAAUCAUUUUAUAUCUGGUAAGUUACAAUUACAACAGUAACGAUUUUUGAAGAUGUUAACAUUUUAAUCUUAUAGGAAAAUAGGAAAACCAGCCGACUUAAUCGAUAAUAACAAUCUCCAGAUUGGGUUCCUUCAAUAAAUAUGGGCUAUAAACACAAUGAAAUAAGUUCCCCAAAAUCUAAAAUGGAGUGGUAUCAAAGGAGAAUUAAAGGAAAUAAUAUUCAUAUUGAAAUUAUUUAUAAGGCACUGGACUGUCUUAAAUUCUACAAUAAUACUAGAAUCAGCUGAGAGAAGUGGUCUACAAAAAACCAGGAAGGAAACGGAAUAUGUGGCUACGAAAGGCAAAAGAAAGGUUUACAAAGCAAAUGUGACACAUUUUUUUAAAAUAUUUAGGAAUAUCAGUAAAUUGCAUUAAAAAAUGUAUGAAAAGAUUUUGUUCAAUAAAAAUGUUUAUAUUUA